UGGUUUCUUUAUUCUUAUAAUUUUUACAAGAGAAAUUGAAAAUGGAUUUACAACAGAAUGGCGUAAAAUUCGUUAUAAAUUUGAUGCGACAGUUCAAAGUUUUGUACUUUCCAGACCUGCACAACGAAUUACCUAUUUGAAAAAUAGAAUAUGAUUAAAAAUUGCUGAUGUGAUAGAGGAUUCAAGUACUAUUCACAAACAAAAUAUUGAAGAGAAUGUGCUCAAAAGGAAAUGCAUAUGAAUUAUUUUUUGUUGACCAGGAUGGAAAAAUUCUUUGGAACCCAUAGUUAGAAUAAGUUAGUUAGGCCUAGUGGUGUACCAGCCAGAAGUAGAGGAUGACAAAGAAAAUCAAC